AUGAACGCUGGCGGCGUGCUUAACACAUGCAAGUCGAACGAAGACAUCUGAGUGCUUGCACUUGGAUGGACUGAGUGGCGGACGGGUGAGUAACGCGUGGGUAACCUGCCUCAUACAGGGGGAUAGCAGCUGGAAACGGCUGGUAAUACCGCAUAAGCGCACGGUAUCGCAUGAUACAGUGUGAAAAACUCCGGUGGUAUGAGAUGGACCCGCGUCUGAUUAGCUGGUUGGUGAGGUAACGGCCCACCAAGGCGACGAUCAGUAGCCGACCUGAGAGGGUGACCGGCCACAUUGGGACUGAGACACGGCCCAGACUCCUACGGGAGGCAGCAGUGGGGAAUAUUGCACAAUGGAGGAAACUCUGAUGCAGCGACGCCGCGUGAGUGAAGAAGUAGUUCGCUAUGUAAAGCUCUAUCAGCAGGGAAGAUAGUGACGGUACCUGACUAAGAAGCUCCGGCUAAAUACGUG
rnacentral:rRNA from 1 species